rnacentral:rRNA from 1 species
GACGAACGCUGGCGGCGUGCUUAACACAUGCAAGUCGAGCGGUAAGGCCCUUUCGGGGGUACGACGAGCGGCGAACGGGUGAGUAACACGUGGGUGACCUGCCCUCAGCUCUGGGAUAAGCCUGGGAAACCGGGUCUAAUACUGGAUAUGACUCCAUGACGCAUGUUGUGGGGUGGAAAGCCUUGUGCGGCUGAGGAUGGGCCCGCGGCCUAUCAGCUUGUUGGUGGGGUGANGGCCUACCAAGGCGACGACGGGUAGCCGGCCUGAGAGGGCGACCGGCCACACUGGGACUGAGACACGGCCCAGACUCCUACGGGAGGCAGCAGUGGGGAAUCUUGCGCAAUGGGCGAAAGCCUGACGCAGCGACGCCGCGUGAGGGAUGACGGCCUCGGUU